CUUGUCCUUAUUUGUAUGUCGCUUUGGAUAAAAGCGUCUGCAAAAUGACUAAUU
rfam:Danio rerio chromosome 2, GRCz11 reference primary assembly.